rnacentral:lncRNA from 1 species
AGGCCGGUGUGUGAAGGCAUGGGCUGAAGGCAAGGGAAUUAUUUACAAAUUCGACAUCCUUUACAGGCUAAGUGGCUUACAGUGAGGCUGCUCUGAACACAAAAAGCUUUUUUUUUUUUGGUCUAGAUAUUGGGGAUCCAAGACAUGUGUUGCUUUGAGGCAUUGAUUCUGUGAAAAACUGGUGCCAGGCACAUUGCUCAACUCCGGUCGGAACAAAGCAGCGUGGAAUAGAGUAGACUUUUAUUACUAAGAAGUUUGGUUAGAUGAAUUAAUAAGUCUUUUCCACUUUAAUUUCAGAGCCAUGGAAAUGCUUUUUAAAAUGAAGAAUAGGUCUAUUUUUAAAUGUCAAGCUGCCUAUUUCAGGAGAGGAGAGAGGGGGAGAAGCUAAUUCUUAAGACACAAAACACUUGAUAGCUCCACUAGAUGCACCAGAUGUUUUUUUUCUUACUAAAUGUGAAAGAGCUUCCUGUAUCGAUCUCAGGGAUUGACGGUUUGAAUAUUCUUCAGUGAAUCGCAGGAAAGCUACGGGAAGCAUCGCGUUCGUUCUUUGGUUUGUCAGAGUCCUUGAAGAGCUGCUGCCUUGGACUUGCUCUUAGUCCCACUGCUGUGUUGCCACAAUUGGUGUCUUAGGUCCACACCUGAGCCUGAAAUCGCUGCAAAUCACGCUGAUAAAGUGUGAAAACAAAAAGCAGUCGGAGGAAACCAUUGGGCUGUGAAAUAGAAGGAUGCUUCUGAAAGGCACCCA